rnacentral:lncRNA from 1 species
GGGCAGUCCACAGGCAUAGAUUUGCACGAUCUAAUGGUUGAAGACGUGUGUAGUUUGAUCAGAGUGAUCUAGUGGCCUGAUCUGAUGGUCGGAAGGUUUUUUGAGUUCUAAUCAGAGUCUGAUCUUUGAUCUGAGCUUGGAUUGAGGUCUUUAAAAAUUCAAUGGACAAACAGAGGGCUCGAUGGUAGCAGUGGACGGUCAGCAGAGAAUCUUGUGUGUAGAACAGAGUAGCUCAGCAG